rnacentral:rRNA from 1 species
CACGACCGGGCAGCGAAAGGGAAUUGGGAACCUCCUUCCCAAACCCGGAACCGGAACGAGGGCGGCGACGCGAACGAAACGGCCGCGGAGACGGCGGCCGCGGCCCCGGAGAGAGUUCUCUUUUCUGUGCGACUGGACGUCGGCCCCGGAAUCGCGUCGAGCGGAGGGGGGGUCGGAGUUCAGGAAUAGCACCCCGGCCUUUCGGGGUGUCCGGGCGGCCGCGGUCGUCCCAUGAAAAUCCGCGGAUGAACGAGUAGGCGACGGUCCGGGUCGUACCGAACGACCGCAUCGGGUCUCCAAGGUUGAAAGCCUCUGGCUAACGGGACAACGUAGGUAAGGGAAGUCGGCAAAUUGGAUCCGUAACUUCGGGGAAAAGGAUUGGCUCUAAAGGUCGGGCCCGGGGGGUCCGGAGGGCGUCCGCCGCGCGGCCUCGACUCGGGGGACCGCCGCUUCGGCGGCGGGCUCGCGGGGCGUGGAAGCCGACGGGCGCACGUCGGGGGAGGGGUCCGUCUCGCCUCCGGCGGGGGGCUCCGUCCCCGGGCGGUCGACGACUGGUUAG